UGUACUUUUCCCAAUGCCGGGG
rnacentral:miRNA from 2 species